UGCCUUAGUAACGGCGAGUGAAGCGGCAACAGCUCAAAUUUGAAAGCUGGCUCCUUUGGAGUCCGCGUUGUAAUUUGUAGAGGAUGAUUCGGCAAGGGCUCCCGCCUAAGUCUCCUGGAACGGAGCGUCAUAGAGGGUGAGAAUCCCGUAUGCGGUGGGCUGCCUAAGCCAUGUGAAUCUCCUUCGACGAGUCGAGUUGUUUGGGAAUGCAGCUCUAAAUGGGAGGUAAAUUUCUUCUAAAGCUAAAUACCGGCCAGAGACCGAUAGCGCACAAGUAGAGUGAUCGAAAGAUGAAAAGCACUUUGGAAAGAGAGUUAAAAAGUACGUGAAAUUGUUGAAAGGGAAGCGCUUGCAGCCAGACUUGUCCGCAGUUGCUCAGCCGGUCUCCUGACCGGUGUACUCUUCUGCGGCCAGGCCAGCAUCAGUUCGGGCGGUCGGAUAAAGACCUCGGGAAUGUAGCUCCUCUCGGGGAGUGUUAUAGCCCGGGGUGGAAUGCGGCCAGCCUGGACUGAGGAUCUCGCUUCGGCUAGGAUGCUGGCGUAAUGGCUGUAAGCGGCCCGUCUUGAAACACGGACCAAGGAGUCUAACAUCUAUGCGAGUGUUUGGGUGUCAAACCCAUGCGCGUAAUGAAAGUGAACGGAGGUGGGAACCCUCACGGGUGCACCAUCGACCGAUCCUGAUGUCUUCGGAUGGAUUUGAGUAAGAGCAUAGCUGUUGGGACCCGAAAGAUGGUGAACUAUGCCUGAAUAGGGUGAAGCCAGAGGAAACUCUGGUGGAGGCUCGCAGCGGUUCUGACGUGCAAAUCGAUCGUCAAAUUUGGGUAUAGGGGCGAAAGACUAAUCGAACCAU
rnacentral:rRNA from 1 species